GGAGCUGCUGCUGUGAGCCAACUCGUGGGCACAGACUGCAGAGCACUUGGUGCUCUUUGAACCCAACUGCUCUGGGAGAGGGGCUGUGCUGCUGGCCACCACCUUCACUGCCUCUUGCUGUUGCCUGAAGCCAUUUGCUGCUGUUGGGAAGUACCUGCUGGUAACCAAGGGCUGAGGUACGUGCUCAGAACCCCAUUCUGCUUCUCCCUCCGUUCCCCUGGAGUGUGCCACCAGUAGCACACGUGGGCAAAUGAUGGCUUUGCAAAGCUCCCAGGCUGACUUGGACUUUAUUGAGCAAGAACAAAUGACAAGGAUCGCACCAGGACAGUGUUGGGUUUCUCCUCCAUGCUGUGCUUUCUUCUACCAGCAUAGGCUGAGAGCUGUUAGAAAGAACAGAGCUGGGCCGCACAGUGGGCUGCAGCCUGCCGGGGGUCAGACAUCAAGAAAUGGACCGGUGAGGCGGCCACACGUUUGGAGGCUUGAGCUUCAACUCUUGCUGAACUGCUACCUGAGGCAGAGGGCAGUGUUACCUCCUAGGUCACAGCUUCUGCUGUGGGAAUCCUUUCAGUAGCCUCCAAUUGUCCUUAAUGUUUUAUUUUUAACCUUACUUCACCCAAUUCUGUUGACACUUAAAUGAAGAACAGCAGAGACUUCCCCCCCCCCUCCCUCUAGUACAAUCCGGGAUUGGAAAUCCCAGCAGCCAGGGGAUCCCAGUGCCCAGGUCUGGGAGAGCCACCCCUGCCCAUCACCUGAGGGUGCCUGGCUGCAGGCUGGGAUGGCAGCGGGUACGGGGCAGUCUGUUCUUGCUGGAAGGGGAGUGUGUCCACAUGGGUGGUGUUUAUCCAAGCAGCUCCUUGGUCUUCGCUGCCAGCAGCUUGUCCAUCUCUGCUGCAGCACUGUCUGCCAUUUGCUGGAUCUGCAGCGACACAGCACAAGUCUGA
rnacentral:lncRNA from 1 species